rnacentral:rRNA from 1 species
GCAAGUCGAACGCUGAAGCCCCAGCUUGCUGGGGUGGAUGAGUGGCGAACGGGUGAGUAACACGUGAGUAACCUGCCCCUGACUUCGGGAUAAGCCCGGGAAACUGGGUCUAAUACCGGAUACGACUGUCGGACGCAUGUCUGGUGGUGGAAAGUUUUUUCGGUUGGGGAUGGGCUCGCGGCCUAUCAGUUUGUUGGUGAGGUAAUGGCUCACCAAGACGACGACGGGUAGCCGGCCUGAGAGGGCGACCGGCCACACUGGGACUGAGACACGGCCCAGACUCCUACGGGAGGCAGCAGUGGGGAAUAUUGCACAAUGGGGGAAACCCUGAUGCAGCGACGCAGCGUGCGGGAUGACGGCCUUCGGGUUGUAAACCGCUUUCAGCAGGGAAGAAGCCUCACGGUGACGGUACCUGCAGAAGAAGUACCGGCUAACUACGUGCCAGCAGCCGCGGUAAUACGUAGGGUACGAGCGUUGUCCGGAAUUAUUGGGCGUAAAGAGCUCGUAGGUGGUUGGUCACGUCUGCUGUGGAAACGCAACGCUUAACGUUGCGCGUGCAGUGGGUACGGGCUGACUAGAGUGCAGUAGGGGAGUCUGGAAUUCCUGGUGUAGCGGUGAAAUGCGCAGAUAUCAGGAGGAACACCGGUGGCGAAGGCGGGACUCUGGGCUGUAACUGACACUGAG